UACGUAGGGGGGCUAGCGUUGUCCGGAAUCACUGGGCGUAAAGAGCGUGUAGGCGGCUCGGUAAGUCCGCUGUGAAAGUCCAGGGCUCAACCCUGGAAUGCCAGUGGAAACUGUCGAGCUAGAGUCCGGAAGAGGCGAGUGGAAUUCCUGGUGUAGCGGUGAAAUGCGCAGAUAUCAGGAGGAACACCGAUGGCGAAGGCAGAUCUCUGGGCCGUAACUGACGCUGAGGAGCGAAAGCGUGGGGAGCGAACAGG
rnacentral:rRNA from 1 species